rnacentral:lncRNA from 1 species
UCAAACAUAUUCUCUUUGGAUCAAUUCAACAUCUUUAUGCAGCACCAAACAUCGAUUAAUUUUAUAUUUUUACUCUAUGGGUGUGUUUAGUUCGAAGUCAGAAUUGGUAUCGGAAUCGAAAUGAGAAUAAGCUGGAAACAGAAUCGGAAUAAUUCAUUAUCUUAUUCUAUUUGAUUCACCAUUUUGAUCGGAAUCGGAAUAAACUAAUUCUAUUAUCAGUAUUUUGUUCAGAUAGAUCUCAGAAGCAUAAUCAAAUUAAUAUGACAAUUUUAUUUUUAUAAUAUAUUAGUUUAAAUUCAAACUGAAAAUUAAAUAUUUAAAAUUUACGUUAAAAUUUAAACAAGAUCAUUUGCCUAGUAAUCGAAAUAACUCAUUUGCCUAAUAAUCGAAAUGGCUCAAAAUCAAUACUUUUAAUGAUCGUGGUGAGCCGUUUGGAAGUUUAACAGUACAGAAAUAUUUAAAUCAUAUAAAAUUUUGAUAGAAAAUUUUUUAUACUAAGUAAAAUAAGAUUAAUAUAUUUGAUCUAAAAUUUUAAUGUCAUAUCAUUAUUUAUUUUCAGCCGUUGAUUUUGAGUUCUUUCAAUCAAUAGGCAAAUGAUAUCAAAAAAUUAUAAAAUUUAUUUUCUAGGUACUUC